rnacentral:rRNA from 1 species
CAAAAACAUCGCCUCUUGAUGAAAUAUGAGAGGUCCAGCCUGCCCAGUGACCUAGUUCAACGGCCGCGGUAUCCUAACCGUGCGAAGGUAGCGUAAUCACUUGUUCUUUAAAUGAGGACUAGUAUGAAUGGCAUCACGAGGGUUAAACUGUCUCCUUUUUCUAAUCAGUGAAACUAAUCUCCCCGUGAAGAAGCGGGGAUUAUUUUAUAAGACGAGAAGACCCUAUGGAGCUUAAAACAAAUUUACACCUGCUUUAAUAUAUAACCCUCCCGAGGACUCACACAAAUUAUAGCAUAACUGAUAAUUAGUUUUCGAUUGGGGUGAUCAUGGAGAAAAAACCAACCUCCACGACGAUAAGGGGGAGCACCUCCUGAGCCAAAAGCCACAACUUUCAGCACUAAAAAAUUAACGCACUUUGACCCAAUUACUUGAGCAACGAACCAAGUUACCCUAGGGAUAACAGCGCAAUCCACUUCAAGAGCUCAUAUCGACAAGUGGGCUUACGACCUCGAUGUUGGAUCAGGGUAUCCCAGUGGUGCAGCCGCUACUAAAGGUUCGUUUGUUCAACGAUUAAAACC